AAUUGAAAGCUAGUAUGAAGGGUUUGAUGAAAAAAAAACUGUCUUUUUGUAAUUAAAUUAAAAUUUAAGUUAAAAAGCUUAGAUUUUUUUAAAAGACGAGAAGACCCUAUAGAGUUUAAUUUAACUAUUUUAUAUAAUAUUUAGAAUUAAAAAUUAUAUUUGUUAUUUAAAUUUAAUUGGGGUAAUUGAAAAAUUUAAUAAACUUUUUUUGUUUUAGAUUAUAUAUUAAUAUAUUUUUGAUCCAUAGAAAAUGAUUAUAAGAUUAAAUUACCUUAGGGAUAACAGCGUAAUUUUAUUGGAGAGUUCAAAUCGAUAAUAAAGAUUGCGACCUCGAUGUUGGAUUAAAAUUAAAUUUUGGUGUAGCCGCUAAAAGAUUAAGUCUGUUCGACUUUAAAAAUUUUACAUGAUCUGAGUUUAAACCGGUGUGAGCCAGGUUGGUUUCUAUCUUUAAAUGGUUAAUAUAUUUUAGUACGAAAGGAUUAAGUAUAUGUAAA
rnacentral:rRNA from 1 species